GUGUGACAGCAUAUUUGCUGAACUAAUUUCUGUGUACAUGUACUGUGUCCUUCCUUACAGCCCACCUCUCCAACAACUCACAACAAGCUCCUGGUCCCACUGGACUGGGCCUCCGGUGUCACCACCAAACCAGACCCUUGUGUGGUCAAUAAACACAUCAGGAAAGUGGUGGAUUCUGUGUUCAGGAAUUAUGACCAUGACCAUGAUGGCUAUAUUUCUCAAGAGGACUUUGAGAGCAUUGCUGCUAAUUUUCCCUUCCUGGACUCCUUCUGCGUUUUGGACAAAGAUCAAGAUGGAUUGAUCAGUAAGGAUGAGAUGAUAGCAUAUUUCCUCCGGGCCAAUCCACUGCUGCAGUGUAAGAUGGGUCCAGGUUUCAUCCACUGCUUCCAGGAGAUGACGUACUUGAAGCCCACCUUCUGUGAACACUGUGCUGGAUUUGUGUGUAUUUUAAGAGUGUCUUACUGCACUUUUCAUGUCUCCUUAAUUUUCCUCAAAGCAAUCAAAAUUUGGAAAAAUUGCAAUUAAACAUUAAACUUAUGGGCCUGC